UCCUACGGGAGGCAGCAGUGGGGAAUUUUGGACAAUGGGCGAAAGCCUGAUCCAGCAAUGCCGCGUGUGUGAAGAAGGCCUUCGGGUUGUAAAGCACUUUUGUCCGGAAAGAAAUCCUUGGCUCUAAUACAGUCGGGGGAUGACGGUACCGGAAGAAUAAGCACCGGCUAACUACGUGCCAGCAGCCGCGGUAAUACGUAGGGUGCGAGCGUUAAUCGGAAUUACUGGGCGUAAAGCGUGCGCAGGCGGUUUGCUAAGACCGAUGUGAAAUCCCCGGGCUCAACCUGGGAACUGCAUUGGUGACUGGCAGGCUAGAGUAUGGCAGAGGGGGGUAGAAUUCCACGUGUAGCAGUGAAAUNCGUAGAGAUGUGGAGGAAUACCGAUGGCGAAGGCAGCCCCCUGGGCCAAUACUGACGCUCAUGCACG
rnacentral:rRNA from 1 species